rnacentral:misc_RNA from 1 species
GAUUAAGAACGUAGUAAAAUGCGAUAAUUAAUGUGAAUUGCAGAAUUCAGUGAAUCAUCGAGUCUUUGAACGCACAUUGCGCCCCCUGGUAUUCCGGGGGGCAUGCCUGUCCGAGCGUCAUUGCUGCCCUCAAGCACGGCUUGUGUGUUGGGCUUCCGUCCCUGGCAACGGGGACGGGCCCAAAAGGCAGUGGCGGCACCAUGUCUGGUCCUCGAGCGUAUGGGGCUUUGUCACCCGCUCCCGUAGGUCCAGCUGGCAGCUAGCCUCGCAACCAAUCUUUUUAACCAGGUUGACCUCGGAUCAGGUAGGGAUACCCGCUGAACUUAAGCAUAUCAAUAAGCGGAGGA